CCAAUUUGUCUAUCUAAAAAAAAACUAGAAUGCCAAUUAUACUAAAAAGAAUUAAUUUUGUCUGAUUAUCCAUUAACAUUAUGGAUAGAAUGACAAUUAAGCUCCAAGAAUGAAAAAUUCACCGAUGUUUUGUGUUCUUAAUUUUUAUUUUUUUUUUAAUUCUAAUGCUUGAUGAAGAUAAUCAUUUUUGAAAAGUUAAAGCUUGGCUAAUUAUUUUGUGUUUAGCUAAUUCUUG
rnacentral:lncRNA from 1 species